rnacentral:rRNA from 1 species
CGUAGGGUGCGAGCGUUAAUCGGAAUUACUGGGCGUAAAGCGUGCGCAGGCGGUUUUGUAAGGCAGGCGUGAAAUCCCCGGGCUCAACCUGGGAACUGCGCUUGUGACUGCAAGGCUAGAGUACGGCAGAGGGGGUGGAAUUCCACGUGUAGCAGUGAAAUGCGUAGAGAUGUGGAGGAACACCAAUGGCGAAGGCAGCCCCCUGGGUCGAUACUGACGCUCAUGCACGAAAGCGUGGGUAGCAAACAGGAUUAGAUACCCUGGUAGUCCACGCCCUAAACGAUGUCAACUAGGUGUUGGGUGGGUAAAACCAUUUAGUACCGGAGCUAACGCGUGAAGUUGACCGCCUGGGGAGUACGGCCGCAAGGUUA